GAUGAACGCUGGCGGCGUGCCUAAUACAUGCAAGUCGAGCGAACGGACGAGAAGCUUGCUUCUCUGAUGUUAGCGGCGGACGGGUGAGUAACACGUGGAUAACCUACCUAUAAGACUGGGAUAACUUCGGGAAACCGGAGCUAAUACCGGAUAAUAUUUUGAACCGCAUGGUUCAAAAGUGAAAGACGGUCUUGCUGUCACUUAUAGAUGGAUCCGCGCUGCAUUAGCUAGUUGGUAAGGUAACGGCUUACCAAGGCAACGAUGCAUAGCCGACCUGAGAGGGUGACCGGCCACACUGGAACUGAGACAAGGUCCAGACUCCGACGGGAGGCAGCAGUAGGGAAUCUUCCGCAAUGGGCGAAAGCCUGACGGAGCAACGCCGCGUGAGUGAUGAAGGUCUUCGGAUCGUAAAACUCUGUUAUUGGGGAAGAACAUAUGUGUAAGUAGCUGUGCACAUCUUGACGGUACCUAAUCAGAAAGCCACGGCUAACUACGUG
rnacentral:rRNA from 1 species